UACGGAGGGUGCGAGCGUUGUCCGGAAUUACUGGGCGUAAAGGGCGCGUAGGCGGCCAUCUAAGUCAGACGUGAAAUCCCCCGGCUUAACCUGGGAACUGCGUCUGAUACUGGAAGGCUUGAGUAUGGGAGAGGGAUGUAGAAUUCCAGGUGUAGCGGUGAAAUGCGUAGAUAUCUGGAGGAAUACCGGUGGCGAAGGCGGCAUCCUGGACCAUUACUGACGCUGAGGCGCGAAAGCUAGGGGAGCAAACGGG
rnacentral:rRNA from 1 species